UAUCUUCUUUAUAAUUUAUAGACCUGUUAGUCUUAAAUACUCUCAGAUCUAUCAAGACAUCGUGUCCAUUCUGGUUUGAUGACAUACACCAAUAUUCAUUUAAAAGAUGGAAAUCAUGUUUGUUAGCAAAAAUUCAUCCGUUAUUCAUGUUGCCGUUGACUGUCUCCACAAAUAAAUAUGGCAUUUGUGGGCGUCUAAAGGAUAAUUUUUUAUGGUGAAGAAGUGGGUGUUCAAAUAUUUGAUCUGCAAUUAAAAUAACCUGAAAUUGAAUCGCAGCCUGAUUCUUAUUCGUGAUUAAGAGCAGAAACUGGAGGAAAAAACCAACCUGGUUGCUUUGACAAAAGAAAAUAAUCUCACUUGAUGUAAAAACGUGUAAGAAAUGAAAAAAUUUACUCAUCAACGAUUACUUUCAUUAUCUAAUUGGCAAAUUUUCAAUUAUACCAACCCGAUGGACAUUGAACUCUCUUGUACUUUCCAAUUUGACUGUUAUGGCUCAAGACUUCUAGACUUGGUUGUAUAAUCUUUAAUUCAAGAAAGCUCAGUUGCUCAAUUCCAACAUCUUCAAGCCCUUUGAUCAUUCAAUUAAUGUGGUUCAGUUAAUUGAUUGAUUAGCUUUAGAUACAUUGAUUAUCAUACUUCUCCUUUUGGCUUUCAUGUAUAUCAUGUUUCACCAGUUAUUUGCGUAAAUAGCGAUUACUUCACUUUCUGUCUUGGUACGGAGGCUUUUAUGCUAAGAUAAUCAGGCAAUGAAUUUUUUUCCGUUUUCCUGAAUCCUCCAACCUGAGAAAGCCAAGCAAAUGCAAAUGUAGCCUCCAAGACUCAUCUUUGAUGGUUAAAGAUCAAUUUUUUGAAAUACUAGGAAGUUAUCAGUCAAAUAACAGGUAAAAUCUUUGACUUCAGCUUGAGCUGUAAUUUAAAUCUGAAUUCUUUGAGAUUACCAAUCCUAUUAUAAAGAAUUACAUUGAUCUUUGGUUAACAUCACUAACUAAUUGUUAUGUAAACAUAACCUAGCAAAUUGCUAGCAAAAACGAAAGUCUAUUUAACCUGUAAACUGUGAAUAAUGGGAAAAAGUGAAGUGUUUUACAAGAUAAGGAAUGUAUGAAAUAAUAAAAGCGAAAAAUUUCAUCAUUUAUUGCUUUUAGUGUAAGUGCCUUAAAAGAGGAAUGUGUUUUCGCGUGUGAUUAUACAAUGAAAAACAUUAUUAACCAACAAUUAACCAAUUCCCUUCCAAAUAGAAUGAACUCAGUCCAGGUUAAUUUAACACCGCCUUGAUGGUUACUAAACGAUAGCUUGAUGUGAAUCUAAACGUGUAUGCAAAAAAAAGCUUUUGUUGAAUUAUUAACUCCUGCAUCUCAAGUUGACUGAUUUUGGCAUCUAUUAUAAUUAUCAACAUUUCAACUGACCAGAUAAAUAUGUUUUUAAACAAUACAUCAUCACUGUUCAACUGUAAGAAGAUGGAAAUGGCCUCAGCGGAGAAUCAAACUGUUGGACGAAUGACAAGGUUGAGAGAAACUGAACUAAUUGAGAAUAUCAUUGAAGAUUAUUAAUGACAAUUGACUGUAUUGACAUCAACAUAGUGCUAUCAGAUUGAACCCGAUUCGAUAUGAUAAAGUUGGCAGGAAAGGUUUUGUUAAUAAUGUCAACAACGUUGGAUUAAUGGUGUUACUUUUCAUGUUCAAAAAAAGGAGUAAAGAUGAUCCAUUGAAGUGAGCUACAAAAAGGAACCAGUCUCUGAUAUCAGAUAACGUGAAGAAAAAUAUUGUAACCAGAAAAAAGUGGAGCUUAACCAAUCUAUUUACAAAUUUGCAAAUCAGAUCAGAAGAAACUCAAGAUGAUGAUGAGAACGUCAUUAGGGAAGG